rnacentral:rRNA from 1 species
GAACGCUAGCUACAGGCUUAACACAUGCAAGUCGAGGGGCAGCAUGGUCUUAGCUUGCUAAGGCCGAUGGCGACCGGCGCACGGGUGAGUAACACGUAUCCAACCUGCCGUCUACUCUUGGACAGCCUUCUGAAAGGAAGAUUAAUACAAGAUGGCAUCAUGAGUCCGCAUGUUCACAUGAUUAAAGGUAUUCCGGUAGACGAUGGGGAUGCGUUCCAUUAGAUAGUAGGCGGGGUAACGGCCCACCUAGUCUUCGAUGGAUAGGGGUUCUGAGAGGAAGGUCCCCCACAUUGGAACUGAGACACGGUCCAAACUCCUACGGGAGGCAGCAGUGAGGAAUAUUGGUCAAUGGGCGAGAGCCUGAACCAGCCAAGUAGCGUGAAGGAUGACUGCCCUAUGGGUUGUAAACUUCUUUUAUAAAGGAAUAAAGUCGGGUAUGGAUACCCGUUUGCAUGUACUUUAUGAAUAAGGAUCGGCUAACUCCGUGCCAGCAGCCGCGGUAAUACGGAGGAUCCGAGCGUUAUCCGGAUUUAUUGGGUUUAAAGGGAGCGUAGAUGGAUGUUUAAGUCAGUUGUGAAAGUUUGCGGCUCAACCGUAAAAUUGCAGUUGAUACUGGAUAUCUUGAGUGCAGUUGAGGCAGGCGGAAUUCGUGGUGUAGCGGUGAAAUGCUUAGAUAUCACGAAGAACUCCGAUUGCGAAGGCAGCCUGCUAAGCUGCAACUGACAUUGAGGCUCGAAAGUGUGGGUAUCAAACAGGAUUAGAUACCCUGGUAGUCCACACGGUAAACGAUGAAUACUCGCUGUUUGCGAUAUACGGCAAGCGGCCAAGCGAAAGCGUUAAGUAUUCCACCUGGGGAGUACGCCGGCAACGGUGAAACUCAAAGGAAUUGACGGGGGCCCGCACAAGCGGAGGAACAUGUGGUUUAAUUCGAUGAUACGCGAGGAACCUUACCCGGGCUUAAAUUGCAGAUGAAUUACGGUGAAAGCCGUAAGCCGCAAGGCAUCUGUGAAGGUGCUGCAUGGUUGUCGUCAGCUCGUGCCGUGAGGUGUCGGCUUAAGUGCCAUAACGAGCGCAACCCUUGUUGUCAGUUACUAACAGGUUCCGCUGAGGACUCUGACAAGACUGCCAUCGUAAGAUGUGAGGAAGGUGGGGAUGACGUCAAAUCAGCACGGCCCUUACGUCCGGGGCUACACACGUGUUACAAUGGGGGGUACAGAGGGCCGCUACCACGCGAGUGGAUGCCAAUCCCCAAAACCUCUCUCAGUUCGGACUGGAGUCUGCAACCCGACUCCACGAAGCUGGAUUCGCUAGUAAUCGCGCAUCAGCCACGGCGCGGUGAAUACGUUCCCGGGCCUUGUACACACCGCCCGUCAAGCCAUGGGAGCCGGGGGUACCUGAAGUGCGUAACCGCGAGGAGCGCCCUAGGGUAAAACUGGUGACUGGGG